rnacentral:rRNA from 1 species
GAUGAACGCUAGCGAUAGGCCUAACACAUGCAAGUCGAGGGGCAGCACAUGAAGUAGCAAUACGGAUGGUGGCGACCGGCGCACGGGUGAGUAACGCGUAUGCAACCUACCUACAACAGGGGGAUAACCCGUUGAAAGACGGACUAAUACCCCCAUAAUACAGGGGUCCCGCAUGGGGAUAUUUGUUAAAGAUUAAUCGGUUGUAGAUGGGCAUGCGUUCCAUUAGCUGGUUGGUGAGGUAACGGCUCACCAAGGCAACGAUGGAUAGGGGAACUGAGAGGUUUAUCCCCCACACUGGUACUGAGACACGGACCAGACUCCUACGGGAGGCAGCAGUGAGGAAUAUUGGUCAAUGGACGCAAGUCUGAACCAGCCACGUCGCGUGAAGGAAGACGGCCCUACGGGUUGUAAACUUCUUUUGUAAGGGAAUAAAGUGAGUCACGUGUGACUUUUUGCAUGUACCUUACGAAUAAGGAUCGGCUAACUCCGUGCCAGCAGCCGCGGUAAUACGGAGGAUCCGAGCGUUAUCCGGAUUUAUUGGGUUUAAAGGGUGCGCAGGCGGGAGAUUAAGUCGGCGGUGAAAUUUUGCAGCUCAACUGUAAAAGUGCCAUCGAUACUGGUUUUCUUGAGUGUGGAUGAAGUAGGCGGAAUUUGUGGUGUAGCGGUGAAAUGCAUAGAUAUCACAAGGAACACCGAUUGCGCAGGCAGCUUACUAAACCAUAACUGACGCUCAUGCACGAAGGCGUGGGGAUCAAACA